CGCCUUCAAACAAAGCUAGUUAGAGGGGAGUCUGAAGAGUUUGGUUUGGAUGACCAAUCUCAACAAAGUGGGCUAGCUGACCAAUUACAGUAGACUGGGCUUUUCGGGAAGAGAGGUGC